AGAGAGAGCCAGGGGGCAGCAUCAGAGCCUGGGGCCCUGGCAGGGGUGCCCAAGGGCACGGCAGCUGCAGGUAUUGACAAGGCCAGAAGACGGCCCUCUGUGCAUGCCAUGCUUAAUAAGGUAAUAAAAAGGUAAGAUUAUAAAGAAGGAAGAGGCCUAUCAAGGAAAGAAGGCUCUUUAUUUGCUUUGCUGUCAUGGUAUCCUUCCCAUUCCACUGGCUUCCAGCACAUAUGUGGUUGGACAUUCAGAGGUGACAAUGGCCAGAUCAACCUUGAUGGAGUCUUGUUCUGUCACCAGGCUGGAGUGCAGUGGUGCGAUCUCAGCUCACUACAACCUCCACCUCCUGGGUUCAAGUGAAUCCCCUGCCUCAGCCUCCCUAGUAGCUGGGACUACAGGCACACACCACCACACCUGGCUAAUUUUUUGUAUUUUUUAGUAGAGACGGGGUUUCACCAUGUUGGCCAGGAUGGUCUCAAUCUCUUGACCUCAUGAUCUGCCCACCCCACCCUCCCAAAGUUCUGGGAUUACAGGCCUGAGCCACUGCACCUGGCUGCUAGUUCUUAAGAGGGAGGUAUGAGACGUAUGUAUAGACUAAGUGAAAGGAAAAUAUCUUGGGCCCCCAAAAUCACUAAGCUAAAAGGAAAAUUCAAGCUGGAAACUGCUCAGAGCAAACCUGCUUCCCAUUCUAUUCAAAGUCAUCCCUCUGCUCACUGAGGUAAAUGCAUAUUCUGAUUGGCUCCUUUGUAAAAGCUAAUUAGAAACUCAAAAGAAUGCAACUAUUUGUCUCUCACCUACUUGUGACCUGGAAGACCCCUCCCUGCUUCAAGUUCUCCCCACCUUUUUGGACAAAACCAGUGUACUUCUUACUGUAUUGAUUAAUGUCUUGUGUCUCCCUAAAGUGUAUAAAACCAAGUUGUGCCCUGACCACCUUGGGCACAGGUCAUCAGGACUUCCUGAGGCUGUGUCAUGGGCAUGCGUCCUCACCCUUGGCAAAAUAAACCUUCUAAAUUAAAUGAGACCUCUCUCAGAUUUUCUGGGUUUACAACUAUGAAUGUUCAGGAGAGUUUGGAAGCCAAUAUCUUCAAGGUCAUACACUUAUCUGUGUUUAGGGUACGUCUCCAGAGGGAGAGAACCACUAGGAUGCAUAUGAAGGGAAACCAACUAGGGGAAAUUGGC
rnacentral:lncRNA from 1 species